GGAGGAGCAGACAAGACACGAGCAGAGUCUCGCUCUUCCUCGUCCUCGACACCACUCCUGUCCCCUUUAAAUACCUUUACUCCCGCUGCAGCUGAGAGGAGAACUUUGCUGGAGUUCCUGCACAUGCCAGGCCUUGCUGCAGGUCUAGGAUGACCGGGAAGACCCAGACCAGCAACGUGACGAACAAGAAUGACCCGCGCUCGCUCAACUCCCGCGUCUUCAUCGGCAACCUCAACACGGCGGUGGUGACCAAGGCCGACAUCGAGGCCAUCUUCGCCAAGUACGGCAAGAUCCUGGGCUGCUCCGUGCACAAGGGCUUCGCCUUCGUCCAGUAUGUCAGCGAGAGGAACGCCAGGGCGGCCGUGGCCGGGGAGAACGCCAGAGUCAUCGCGGGGCAAUCGCUAGAUGUCAACAUGGCAGGAGAGCCCAAACCAUACAGGCCGAAGAUGGGCACCAAGAGGCCGCUGUCGUCCCUAUACAGUGGCUAUGAGUUUGACUACGACUACUGCAGAGAGGACUUCUACAGCAGACUUUUGGAGUACCACGGUCGCGUGGCGCCGCCCGCCCGGGCCGCCAUUCCCGUCAAGCGCUCCCGGCUAGUCGUGCCGUCCACACGCAGAGCCAAGUCCUCUUUUCCCGUCCGGGCUUGCUCUUUCUCUUCUUCCUCCUCCUCUUCUUCUUCACGAGCGGUCAAUGUUGGGUCUUCACUCGCAGCCCCCAAACUGAAGACGGAGCAGCUGCUCGCCAUCAAGAAGGAGCUGUUGCAGAUCAAGACCAAGAUCGACUCCCUGCUGGGGAGGAUGGACAAGUUUGAGAGGCAACAUCGCUGUGACGCUGACAUGCCGCGGACACACCAGGCGGCGUGCGAGUGUCACUAUGGCGACAGAGCCGAGCACCACUGCGGAGGAGAGGCGGGGGACACCGCCAAGACAAUGGAGACGACAGACGGCGGCGACCACUUCUUCGAGGACGAGGGCGCUGGCGACAUGGUGGGACGAGUUCCAACUGGUCAAAUCAUUGGGAACAAUAAUGCAAGAUAUGUGUCAAAACUCAAAGAUAAUUGUCUCUUUUUUUUAAGGUCUUAAUUUAACAGAACUGUAUGUUUAUUAUUGUGUUUUACCUUUCUGAUAUUUUAUUUUCCACUUUUUUAUUGCAGAUAGAGAACCACUUAUCAGAUAUUGACAACUGAGCGCAAGCUGGAGAAGAUGUUAGCAGUUUGUGAUAAAGGAAGAAGGAUUGUUUGAAAUGAAAGCUCAGCAAUGAAGAAGUGACUCGAUGUGUGAAGAAAAAGGACACUCGUUCAUCGUCCAAACGGCUUGUUUUGAACAUUUUGGACUGCACAGAGCAAUCCACACAUGCUAAAUUAGGAGUACAAUACACUUCAUGACAGUCUGUAUUGUAACUUAUCAGGCUCCUCCUUUGCUGUACAGACAAUGUACGUUAAAACAUGAAUGUACUGUAAGAGGAACAUAUUUGAUUAUUAUGUGUUUUGUCAUCUUGUCUCUUUCCCACACAGUAUUCACAUCACAGGUUUUUUUUUUACUUCCUGUCUCUGACAAGAUAAUGAAAAGAUGACUAUAUUUUGUAUAAUUUUAUUUUAAAAAAUGUAACUGUAAACUGGCCCUCGAAGCUGUUUAUUUUAUUUCAUUUUUUAUUAUUUUUUACGAUAACUAAUCAAAACAAAGGCACGUUGACUAAGACGACAUCACAUGUAAGUAACAAGUAAAAACGAGAUGAAAAUGUUGACAGAAAGGAAAUCCAAUCAUAUUUGUUUGGCAACCUUUUUUGAGCCGAGGCACAUUUUUUGCGUUGAAAAAAUGCGGAGGCACACCACCAGCAGACAUCGUUAAAAAACGAAACUCAGUCGACAGUAAAAAGUCGUCGUCGCAAUUUGUUGGAUAUGACUUUAAAGCAUAACCAAGCAUGCAUCAAUAUAGCUCUUGUCUCAAAGUAGGUGUACUGUCACCACCUGUCACAUCACACCCUGACUUAUUUGGACUUUAUUGCUGUUUUCCUGUGUGUAGUGUUUUACUUCUUGUCUUGCACUCCUAUUUUGGUGGCUUUUUCUCUUUUUUUUUAAACAAUUUAUUAAUUAAUAAAUAAUUAUUAUUAUUACUAAAUAAAUAAAUUAUUAAUUAAUUAUGUAUUAAUUUAUUAUAAUUUAUUAAAUAUAUUUAUAUUUUUUAUAUUUUUGGUGUUUUCCUGUGUGUAGUGUAUUACUUCUUGUCUUGCGCUCCUAUUUUAAUGUCUUUUUCUCUUUUUUUUGGUAUUUUCCUGAAGCAGUUUCAUAUCUUCCUUUGAGUGAUAUUUCCCGCAUCUACUUUGUUUUAGCAAUCAAGAAUACUUCAGUUGUUUUUAUCCUUCUUUGUGGGGACAUUGUUGAUUGUCAUGUCAUGUUCGGAUGUACUUUGUGGACGCCGUCUUUGCUCCGCAGUAAGUCUUUGCUGUCGUCCAGCAUUCUGUUUUUGUUUACUUUGCAGCCAGUUCAGUUUUGUUUGUAUUGAAUGCAUUGCUGUAGUUGCACAGCGUGUUUUGUUUGUUUGUUUUUUUUAAAUAAAUAUGUUCCUCUCAAUCAAGUCCCCCAUAAAAUAUACUUGUUGUUUUAUGGAAUUUGAAAAGCACAUCCUAAAAUGUGUUAUCAGUGCUGGCCCCUGGCCGUGUAAGUUUAUUUAAACUGAUGGUUAUUCGCUCACUUCAUUAGCAGCAAUUUAUGGCUUUAAUCACACUUGUAUUUUUAUUAUCGUUAAGUCGAGUCAUUACAUUGACUGCUUCAAU